GAAGAUAUGCAACAGUAUAUGUCACAUGAUAUCAAUGACUUCAACUCAUUAAAUUGAAAAGGUACAAUAAUAUAUAGAUACGAAGCAGUGCUAACAAUGACCGGCUAGUCUCUAAUAUUUUUACCCAAAAAUUAAAGGUUUAAAACCAUAAUUAUGUUUAACUAGGCAACACUGCAAAUAUUAUUCGCAAAAUGGUUUUCAUUUGCGUACAAGAAACAAAAAAAAAAUGGGAGAAAUUAAUCGUUCAUUCCAUCUUGUAAUUUAAAAGAUAUUAUAUAAUGCUCCUUCUCAUGUUUGUGACCCCCUCUUCUGCUUCUUUUAUUUCCAAGGGCGACUGAAGAAAACAUUGUCUCGCCUGCAAAUUUGACAAAUCAUAUUUGUUACCAGGAAAGCUAAAUGUAUGAUAGAAGAUCAAAAAAUACAUAGACUAUAUAGUUUCAAAAGCAGUAAAUGUCUUAAUGAAUUUGACAUUUUCUAAUACGUAGACAACUACAGAAUAUCACAGUACCUAUAGAGUACCACAGUAUUACAUAUGUAUAUAAUUAGUUACCAAAAAACCUACAUAUCCAAAAAAAAGUGGAUUAAUGAAUCAGGAUUCAAGACCUCAACAUUGGUAUGAUUGUGUUUAUUCAAUAAUAAAAUUUUGAGUGUCUUAUAGGACUUGCACAAACUGGAUGUACCCAGAUCAUGAAUUGUCCUAAUACGUUCAAGGAGAUUAGAUAGACUAUAAUCAUUAAAUCAAUACUCAGCCUAUCACCGGUACCCAUAGAGUACUAUAGUACCCAUAGAUUAUCCAUAGAUUAUCACAGUAGUACAUAGAACACAUAGAUAAUUACAGAUACAUAUAGAACAAUAAUCUUCACGAAUCACCCAACUCAAUAACGUUUACAUAAUAUGCAGUAUUGUACCACUCAUAUGUAAUAAAAAAUCUAGAAUAUAUACUACAAUCUUCACAUAAUCAACUACAAAACAAACCACCAAACUUUUUUUGUAUAGAUUUGUGUCAUAGACACCAAAAUACUUCAAUAUAAUUAAACAGCAAAACAUAUGUAUUUCGUACCUGGAUCUAGCGCAUUUAUGUCUUGCGUGCCUUUCAUCCUCAUCUCCCCUGCGAAAUCGAUUUUGUAAAUUACAGAAUCAAAUUUGUACUCGAUAUAUGAAUAAACGUAGACAUUGGAAUGAAUAGAUGGCAACGAAAGUUGGCUUCUUCUGUUGUAUACUACAUCGGUGUUCCCGUCCGAUUUGCAGAAUAAACACCGUCCAAUUUGCAGAAUAGAAAGAAAGGAAAGAGAAUAAAAUUGGGUGUGAUAUGAUGCGGUUAAUAAGGGAUUCGGGAAAUUAGAAUCACGUAUAUUAGUAAUGGCGAGAUUAGUGGGAUUUUAUUUCAACUUGCCAAAUCAUAAAACACGGCGUUAAAAAUCACCGUAAGGGUAGUAUAGGAACUAUUUUACAAAAGGAUGUGGGGCUAAUGUUUUUCUGGGCUUGAGAGUAGCUUCUAAUAUGUUUUCCCACUAGGGAUGCAUAUCUUAA
rnacentral:lncRNA from 1 species